rnacentral:rRNA from 1 species
CGGUCUGGCGGCGAGUGGCGAACGGGUGAGUAAUGUAUCGGAACGUGCCCAGUAGCGGGGGAUAACUACUCGAAAGAGUAGCUAAUACCGCAUACGCCCUACGGGGGAAAGGGGGGGAUCUUAGGACCUCUCACUAUUGGAGCGGCCGAUAUCGGAUUAGCUAGUUGGUGGGGUAAAGGCUCACCAAGGCGACGAUCCGUAGCUGGUUUGAGAGGACGACCAGCCACACUGGGACUGAGACACGGCCCAGACUCCUACGGGAGGCAGCAGUGGGGAAUUUUGGACAAUGGGGGCAACCCUGAUCCAGCCAUCCCGCGUGUGCGAUGAAGGCCUUCGGGUUGUAAGGCACUUUUGGCAGGAAAGAAAUCGCACGGAAUAAUACUCUGUGUGGAUGACGGUACCUGCAGAAUAAGCACCGGCUAACUACGUGCCAGCAGCCGCGGUAAUACGUAGGGUGCAAGCGUUAAUCGGAAUUACUGGGCGUAAAGCGUGCGCAGGCGGUUCGAAAAGAAAGAUGUGAAAUCCCAGGGCUUAACCUUGGAACUGCAUUUUUAACUCUCGAACUAGAGUGCGUCAGAGGGGGGUGGAAUUCCGCGUGUAGCAGUGAAAUGCGUAGAUAUGCGGAGGAACACCGAUGGCGAAGGCAGCCCCCUGGGAUGACACUGACGCUCAUGCACGAAAGCGUGGGGAGCAAACAGGA